UGCUGGAGCGAAUAGAAGUGAGCAUGCAGGCAUGAGUAGCGAUAAUUAAUGUGAGAAUCAUUAACGCCGUAAACCCAAGGUUUCCUACGCGAUGCUCGUCAUCGUAGGGUUAGUCGGGUCCUAAGUCGAGUCCGAAAGGGGUAGACGAUGGCAAAUUGGUUAAUAUUCCAAUACCAACAUUAGUGUGCGAUGGAAGGACGCUUAGGGCUAAGGGGGCUAGCGGAUGGAAGUGCUAGUCUAAGGUCGUAGGAGGUUAUACAGGCAAAUCCGUAUAAUAAUACUCCGAGAACUGAAAGGCUUUUUGAAGUCUUCGGAUGGAUAGAAGAACCCCUGAUGCCAUCGAGCCAAGAAAAGUUUCUAAGUUUAGCUAAUGUUGCCCGUACCGUAAACCGACACAGGUGGGUGGGAUGAGUAUUCUAAGGCGCGUGGAAGAACUCUCUUUAAGGAACUCUGCAAAAUAGCACCGUAUCUUCGGUAUAAGGUGUGGUUCGCUUCGUAUUAGGAUUUACUCCGAAAGCGAAGAAACUUACAACAAAGAGUCCCUCCCGACUGUUUACCAAAAACACAGCACUCUGCUAACUCGUAAGAGGAUGUAUAGGGUGUGACGCCUGCCCGGUGCUCGAAGGUUAAUUGAUGGGGUUAGCAUUAGCGAAGCUCUUGAUCGAAGCCCGAGUAAACGGCGGCCGUAACUAUAACGGUCCUAAGGUAGCGAAAUUCCUUGUCGGUUAAAUACCGACCUGCAUGAAUGGCGUAACGAGAUGGGAGCUGUCUCAAAGAGGGAUCCAGUGAAAUUGUAGUGGAGGUGAAAAUUCCUCCUACCCGCGGCAAGACGGAGAGACCCCGUGGACCUUUACUACAGCUUGACACUGCUAUUUGGAUAAGAAUGUGCAGGAUAGGUGGGAGGCUUUGAGUAUAUGACGCCAGUUGUAUAUGAGCCAUUGUUGAGAUACCACUCUUUCUUAUUUGGGUAGCUAACCAGCUUGAGUUAUCCUCAAGUGGGACAAUGUCUGGUGGGUAGUUUGACUGGGGCGGUCGCCUCCCAAAUAAUAACGGAGGCUUACAAAGGUUGGCUCAGAACGGUUGGAAAUCGUUCGUAGAGUAUAAAGGUAUAAGCCAGCUUAACUGCAAGACAUACAAGUCAAGCAGAGACGAAAGUCGGUCUUAGUGAUCCGGUGGUUCUGUGUGGAAGGGCCAUCGCUCAAAGGAUAAAAGGUACCCCGGGGAUAACAGGCUGAUCUCCCCCAAGAGCUCACAUCGACGGGGAGGUUUGGCACCUCGAUGUCGGCUCAUCGCAUCCUGGGGCUGGAGCAGGUCCCAAGGGUAUGGCUGUUCGCCAUUUAAAGCGGUACGCGAGCUGGGUUCAGAACGUCGUGAGACAGUUCGGUCCCUAUCUGCCGUGGGCGUAAGAAGAUUGAAGAGAUUUGACCCUAGUACGAGAGGACCGGGUUGAACAAACCACUGGUGUAGCUGUUGUUCUGCCAAGAGCAUCGCAGCGUAGCUAAGUUUGGAAAGGAUAAACGCUGAAAGCAUCUAAGCGUGAAGCCAACUCUAAGAUGAAUCUUCUCUAAGCUCUCUAGAAGACUACUAGUUUGAUAGGCUGGGUGUGUAAUGGAUGAAAGUCCUUUAGCUGACCAGUACUAAUAGAGCGUUUGGCUUAUCUUUAAUAAAGCAU
rnacentral:rRNA from 1 species